rnacentral:lncRNA from 1 species
AUUAAAUACUGUUUUAUGAUAGUAAGCCCUGAAUUUAUAACUUUAUUUUGUAAUCAAUCAAUAUAAGACUAAAAAUAAGUAGCAUACUAGAAAAAAGCAGAGACAAAGACACCAAAGCAUGCUCUUGGAAAAUCACACCUGAAAUUCUAAAUCAGAUACUUAAAAAAAAAAGUAUUUAGCAUUAUUUGAACAAGAAAGUAAAAGCACAAGUGAAAUGGAGCUUAACCUGAUCAGUCACUAGUCAUGGGAACUAGGGAUAGAUGUUUGCCCCACAAGGGUCCUUCUGAGCUAUUCUAUUUAUUAUUUAACUCUUUGGGUAUUUAACAUUUAAAACUCUAUAAAGCCUGUUUUAUCAAAAGCAAUUGCAAGAACUAGAUAAUUAGUGAGAAAGGCAAUUGAAUGGUAAAGAGCAUGAUUUAUGGUAUAUUUGGAAUAAAUUCAGGGUUCCCCCCAGCUAUAUUAUGGUAUCAAAAAGCUUGGGUAA